ACUCCUACGGGAGGCAGCAGUGGGGAAUAUUGCACAAUGGGCGCAAGCCUGAUGCAGCCAUGCCGCGUGUGUGAAGAAGGCCUUCGGGUUGUAAAGCACUUUCAGUCGUGAGGAAGGUAGUGUAGUUAAUAGCUUUAGCUUGAUCUUUUUGAACGUUAGCGACAGAAGAAGCACCGGCUAACUCCGUGCCAGCAGCCGCGGUAAUACGGAGGGUGCGAGCGUUAAUCGGAAUUACUGGGCGUAAAGCGCAUGCAGGUGGUUUGUUAAGUCAGAUGUGAAAGCCCGGGGCUCAACCUCGGAAUUGCAUUUGAAACUGGCAGACUAGAGUACUGUAGAGGGGGGUAGAAUUUCAGGUGUAGCGGUGAAAUGCGUAGAGAUCUGAAGGAAAUACCGGUGGNGAAGGCGGCCCCCCCUGGACAGAUACUGACACUC
rnacentral:rRNA from 1 species